rnacentral:lncRNA from 1 species
UUAGAACUUAUCUAUCCAAUUCAUAAUUCACGUGAAUGUUUAUGUAACUUAUCUAUGUGUGAGCCGACUUAGUCAUUUGUUAGCCUAUAUCAUUUUUUUUUUUUCACAAUUGGGAGGAUAUAUGUGAUUGUUUUUACGUAUCUUUUUUGUGUCAACUAUGUAACAUGACCAUUAAUAAAAUCAUUCCAAAAAAAGUAGUUAUAUUGUCAAAUAGUAUAAUGUCUAUAUCUAAGAAUAUGUCACAACGAGUUUAAUUUAACUGUAAUUAGUAUGACUCAUUAUCCUUAUUGUCAAAUACAUGUUUCUAAAGAAUAUGUCAAAAUCAACUUAGUUCAAAUAGUUGACCUGACUCACUAAUCUUAUUGUUAUCUAAAAAAUAUGUUAAAAUAAAUUUAACUAGUGAUAAUUGUUAUUGUCCAUUACCCUAAAAAUGGAAGGUUCGAUCCCCUAUUUUUUUUUCAUUGGUUGAAAGUAUUCUAUCCAAACUUAUCCAAGGAAAAAACAAAAUGGCAAACCAAAAAUGCUAAUUAUCAUAAAGGUUGACAUAAAAUUAAAUCUCAUUGAAUUCAAUUAAAUAGCAAUAACUCAUAUAACCUAAAAUUAUAUACGAUAUUAUGAGAUUGACCUAAAAUUUUUCAAUUUUUCAUAAAUGUCCUAAAUUAACUAAUAUUUUACACAAAUAUAAGACCAAAAUGAUUAAUUUACCUAUAUUUAUUAUUAAUAAUAUAUUAAAAAUAGAAAAAAGAAAAAUGAAAGUGAACCUUCAUUAAUAUUUGUAUUUAUUAGAUAUUCUAUGUAAAUAUGAUAAGUCAAUAAUUCUAUUAUGGUAAUAUUAUAAUAAAAAAUUUCUUAAUUAUUUUUAUUUUGAUUAUUUUGUUCAAAUAAUCUUCUCCAGAUCUCUCUCUUUCUAAUUUUUCACUCCGUCCAUUCCUUCUUUCAUUCUGCAUUGUUUUUCCUAUAUUCCACCAAAGUAUAAUAUAUAUUGAAUAAUACGAUGUAUAUUUUAUAAAUGAGAGGUUCUUAUAUCAAUUUGUUUAUAGCAGGUGAACCAACAAGAAGCAAUCAGGGAUAUGAGUUACGAUUUAGAUUUUUUUUUAAAAAAAGGUAAAAGUUUCAUUUUUCGAAUACGUUAAAUGUUGAUUCUAUUUUCUUUAUAAAAGACGUUGAAUAAUAGAAGAUUGGUGAAAGUAUAAACGGUGAAGAAGAAGAACAUUAGUGGCUGACUGAAAUAGUGAUCUUUCGAAAGAAUUUAUAAGAAAUUUAAGGGUAGUAAGAAUUUAUUUUUCAUAUUUGAAAUACAUUAGGGUAUAUUGAGUGUAUUGAAGAUAACAUCAUUUAUGUAUUAUUGAAUAUAUGAAGUAGUAUAUAUAUGUAACAAAUCACAGAAAAUAUAUGUAUUAUGUAGUAGUUUAUAUGUAAGAAUUAAAAAGAAUACUGAUUGGAUACAUAAUCUAUAUAUAUACAGUGGUAUAUAAGUGCAGUAAGAAAAAAUCACAAAACAUGAAAAAAAAAAUGUAUGUAUUAUUGAAUAUAUGCAAUAGUAUAUAUGUAAAAAAAUCACAAAACAUAAAUGAAUUAUUCAGUAGCAUAUAUGUAAGAAAUACAAAAAAUACCGAAUUGAUAUAUAAUGUGUGUAUAUAUUGGUAUACAUACGCAAUAAGAAAAAAUCACCAAAUAUAAAAAAAAAAUGUGUAUGUAUUAUUGAAUAUAUACAGUAGUAUAUAUGUAGCAAAUUACAAAAGAAAGGAGCAAGAACUUCUUGCUGGCGUCAAUCACAAAAGAAAGGAGCAAGAACUUCUUGCUGGUGUCGGAAGACAUUUCUAAGAUUCUUAAUAAGGUGGAUGAAAAUAGUUACAUAAGUUUAUAUUUAAUUAUUACAUUAUUCCAUAUUAUAAAAGAUUUUAUUUUAGGGAUAGUUGUAAACUUAGUAAUUAAAUUCAAAUUAAUUAAGUAUAUAGCACAAUUUUAAAAAAUUUGUAAAUAUAGCAAAAUUUGUCAAAUUCUAUCAAUGAUAUAAGUCUAUCACUGAUAGAUCAUGUUGCAAAUAUUGGUCUAUCAUUGAUAUACCAUAUGAAGUUUAUCAACGAUACAAGUCUAUCAGUGAUAGUUUUGCUAUAUUUACAAUUUUUUAAAAAUGUUGCUAUAUCCUUAAUUAUUAUUGCUAAAAUAGUAAUCUAUUCCAAUUUUCCUUUAUUUUAUAUUAAAAAAUAAACUAUUUUCAUAAUAAAAUCAUACUAGUAGCAUAAAUAAAGAAGUUAGAAAAAAAAGAAAAUAGAAAAAAAUAGUCCAUAACACCUCUUUUUUUUUCAUAUUACAAAUAUGUCUAUAAGUCCUCAUUCUUUUCUCCUUUUAAUUAUAUUAAUAUUUUCAAAGGUGUGAAAAAAAGUUUAAAUCCAAUUGUAAAUUAAUUAUGGAUUGAAUCAGUUUGUUGGAAAAGUUUAGAAUCAAUUUUAUUUUGACAAUGACUAGAAAAUUUAAUAAGUGAUGGAAAAACUAGGAAUAUGGCCAAAGUUGAAGUUUUGGUUUUGAGUUGAAAGAAUAAAGGUCCUUUUAUAUUUUCUUAGAAAAAAAGGAAAAGAAAAGAAAAGUUAACUCUCUCCUUGGAAAUCAUUCGAAAAACGUCAGCCACACCUUUCUUCAUUCGCGAUUCUUCUUCCUCUCCUCCUCUCCUCCUCUCCUCCUCUCCUCCAGCCGACGCCACCACCGAGCCAUCCUUACAUCGUUCAACUCAUUGAAUGACGAACGACAUGCUGACACUUCCAUCUCACUCGUAUUUUGGUCGUGAUGCACCCCGACAAUGCAACUCGUCGACGUCGAUACCGAUGACUAGCUAAACGCACCGUUGCUAGUCGUAUCCGGUCGUUGUCAACUAGGUUUCUCAAAGCUCUCGCAAGUUGUUUGGUUUAUAGAUCUACCAGUCGAGCCAAGUUCGCUUAAAGCCGUUGUGUCGCUUCUCACGUCAUUAGCUUGUUAGAUAUGAUUUUGUGGACAGAUUUGAGCUUUUUGGUGAGUUUGUGAGUUUUUCUCAAAGAGUUUCAAUUAUCCAUUGAGUUUCGACUUGAUUUUUACAUUACCCAUUACUUUUCAUUGUUAGAUUUGGAUUCUUGGGAGAUUUUAGCCAUUGUCCAGCCCUUAGGAAGCUCAAAUUUGAGUAUUUUCGCACAACUUAAUUGGGUAAGAUUCUAAACUUUUUGGAGUAGGUCUUGAAUAUCCAUUUAAUUCUAGUGCUAACAUUGAAUACCUCAUGAUGUUAGUAGCUAGAUUUCAAAGCUAGAAGGUCGUUAGGGUGUUGUCCAUUAGAACUAAUAAGACUAUUCUAAUAAGUAUUUGGUAAGAUUACAUUCUAAUUAGUUAAUUAAGUUUUUUCUUUUUUCUUACAUCAUAUUUAUCUUUACAUUUUAUCCUUCUUAAAAAACUAUGAUGAUGGAAUUAGAAAUAUCUGGGAGUCCGUUAUUUCUAAAUUCUUGAAGUGAGGGAAUCAGUUCUUUGGGAGUCCAAGAUCGAUUUCCAAUAUUUUUCAAAAAAUAAAAUCUUAUCUUACUUGCUUAAUUUGUUCUGUGAUAUAUUUGAUUGUAUUUUGUGCAUUAUUUUCUAUUGACUUAAUUUUGAAAUUUUUCUUAAAUUUUCUUUUUUAACCAUUUAGAAAUUUUUGUUUGAAAACUAUCUUUUUUAAUGUUUUUUUUAAAGUUUAAAAUAUAAAUCGAUAUUUCAUAAGGUUUUCUAAUCAACCUUUUUUUAAUAACUCAUGUCUAUUUCGCUAAAAGAAAUCAUAUGAUAGAAUCUAGAACUUUCUGGAAGUUCUUUAUUUCUAGAUUCUUGAGGUGAUUAGGGAUCAAUACCUUUGGGAGUCUGAUAUUUGAUCCCAAGAAAAAAUGAAUUUAAUCAAUGUUUUAAAAAAAUAUAUUUAUUCGAAUACUAGCCUAUGAUAGAUUUUGAGAAAUUGUAAUAAUAAGAUGAGAAAUUUUUCUCAAUAUAGUCUAAUUAAUGAAAUAUUAUUUCACUUAUUUUAUGGGAUCAUUGUUUCAAAUAUUGGAGUGAUGAGCAAGGAAAUAAGACAUAAAAAAUUUCUAAAUGAAUUUUAUUUCAGACUUUAAAUUUGGCCACAGUUUUCUAAAUGGGUGUUACGGGGUACUAAUACCUUUUUCGUACAUACUUCCGAUCUCAACUCUAUUUUUCAUAGACUAUUUUUUAAAAAAAAUUAUUUACUUUAUUUUGGUGUCCGAUCACACGCCUUAAAAAAGAUUGGUGGGCGACUCUUAUUUUCCUUUGAAACUGACUCUUUUGAGGAUGUCGACCGCAUUGUUUCGAGCGUGUGGCAACACUAAGUAUGCAUGAUCUCCAUUUGACCGCGUGUUUUCUUGUGGAUAUGGAUCACGCGUGAGUUAUUUCGGUCCGUGUAUUUAGUAUGCUAUUAUGGUUGGAUUGAAUGGAUGUUGUUACUAUGGUAGGUGUUAAGUAUUGCGUGAGCUCGUUUGGCCACGCAUUUCCUUGUGGUCACGCAUUUCCUUGUGGAUAUGGAUCACGUGUGAACUAUCCUGAGUCCUGUAUUUUAGUAUGGUAUCAUGGUUGGAUUGGAUGGAGGUUACUAUCAUGGCGGUUACUAAAUAUGCAUGAGCUAGUUGUGGUCACAUGAUUAUUUGAUCAUGUGCGAGCUAUUCUUAGUCGUAUAUUUAGGCGCCUUGCCAUGGUGGAUUGAGUAAAGGUUUGUCGGCUUGACUUGUGUUGUAUAGUAUUAUGUAAUGAUGAAGUUUGAUUUAUUAUUUCAUUAUCAAUGCAUACUUACACAUUGUUUUGAGCAUGUUUUACGAGUUGUUACUACUAAGAAUUUGUCACUCAUUAAGUUAUAGCUCACGUUUUCAAAUUUUUUCUCUCCCCCCCUCCCCCAGGUAGGCGGUCAAGGAACAGGCAUUGGUUGAACUCUUAGUCAUAUACUGAUUGUGAACUCAUUCCUUUUGAAUGUAUAUACUAAGUUUUGUAUUACUUCAUGGGAUAGUUAGAUGUAGCGAAAGUGACGUUAAAGGAUUGUGUUAUGAGAAGUUCCUCAUUAGACUAUAAUCGUUAUCUUGUAUGCAAUAUCUAGUUUGAAUUUUAACUUUGCUUGAAACUCUAGGAUAGUCUUGAUGUAUGUGUGGUGAGACACACUUUUUGUGUUGUGGAGUUUGAAGUCAGUUUAUAUACAUUUAGAAGUGAAAUUUUCAAGUUUGGCUAAUCCAUAUUUUAGAGGCGAUGCCGUCGAAUUUUUUAUAGGAUUUUAUAUUACUUGCUUUUUUAAAAAGUUUAAGUUGAAUAAUGUUGGUUUAAAAAGGCGUUUUCAUGCCACGACCUACGUUAGGAGGGAAAAUCUAGAAUGGGGUAUGACAAUGACAACUAAUUAGAUAUAUCAAACGACUAUUAGAAGACUAUCAAAUGACUAUCAACUUUUAGAUUUGCUACUUUUGUAAUUUUAAAAUGUAGUGACAUGGGCCCUAUUAUCAUAAUUUCUUUUGUUAUUUUAGCAAACGCUCUUUUUUAAAUUGCAAAAAUGAAAAAUUUGUCAAGCCCAAAUUUGUUGAUGGGCUUGAAAUAAAAUGUCGAAAAUACCCCUCAUUUUUUAUUACCAGCAUCUGACUGUCAUUUGAUCACUAUCAUAUAGUCCUUCGAUUACCUUUUGAUUGUCUUCUGAUUAAUUUUUUAUUUAGUUAGCCUUUUGAGAAAGUGAUUUGAUUACUUUUGGAUCGCCAUUUGAUUACAUUUUUUGUGAUAGUAAUUGUUUAUAUUACUUGAUUAAAUUGAUAGAACUAAGUCAUGCACAGCGGAAAAAGAAUCGAAUUUCUACCCUAAUUGCCGCAAUUAACAUGUAACCAUAAACUAAUCAAAUUAGGGUUUUAAGAAGUAUUACCUUUGAAGCUUUCAAAAGGUUUGAUGUCUUCUUACCAAUUCUAACCGAGACCACCACUAGUACUCAACUGCUAUCCUCUAGACAAAGAACCGGGUUGUGGGACCCAAUUUUGGUGUAGAUAGAAAUGGAGAUAAAAUGGGAUUGGAAGGUUUCCUUUUUUUUCUUUUGUUGAGAUGAUGAAAAUGAUAAAAGAGGCAAAAGUCCUUCAACAUUUGAAAACACCUCUAUUUAUAGCCUAAUUACAUGCAAAAAUGCAUGCAAUUCAUUUGCCAAAUCUCAACACCUAAAUGUUCCACUAACAAUUAGUGGAACUUAGUGGGCUAGGUGUCUAUAUCUCAUAUAGCCACAUAUCCCACUAAGAGUUAGUGGGAUUAUCCAACAAAAUGUUGGAUUUUCCCACUAACUUAGUCCAAGGGUAAAAUGGUCAUUAGAUAUUUCUAGUCAAAAGUCAAACUUUGACUUUUCUUAGUCAAAAGUCAAACUUUGACUUUUCUUAGUCAAAAGUCAAUAUUUUGACUUUUUACCAUUUUGUCCGUCUUGACUAAUUCCAACCUCCCGAGCAUGAAUCCGCAUUCAUUUUUCCAAAAUUCAAAUCACAUUUGAAUAUAAGGCCGGUCAAAGUUUGACUUUUCAAAGUCAAAAGUCAACCUUUUGACUUUUUACUAUUUUUGACCAAUUCCAUCAAUUCCGAGCUUCUUAGUAUGAAUCCGCAUUCAUACUUAUAGUAUGUAAAACAUAAAGCUCUAUUUCUAAUUAGAAGACCGACGACUAUAUCACUAUAUUUGUCGGUUUCCCUUUCUUCUCCCAAUUCGAACAAUUCGACUUAUUUCAUCACACUGUUCUAAGUUUAAUCCAUAUGAGCUAGCAGAGGAACCUAAUGGACCUAUAGAUCAUGGGCUCCAACGAUUCAAGAUUAACUAGCUAAACUCUUUUAAACCGAGUUAAUCAACAUUCGUUAACUAACGGGUCAUUCCACUAAAGUCCCGUAGUUGCACUCCCCUCACUAUAGAUAUAUUUGUGUCCAUUUGAUAAAACCAUAAUCAGUAAGUUAAUCCUUCACAGGUUGCUCGUAACCUUGGCUGGGUCAAAAUACCGUUUUACCCCAAGAUUACAUCUUGCUCCUUAAGUCCCACUAAUCCACUAUUGAACAAUUGGUUUAAGGUUCAACCUAUAAACUUAAUCCCUCUCGGGCCAAUGAGAGGGUGGGGCCCCUUGUUCAAGACUUGGAUUCAGUGCUUAAGAGAGCAACCUAUCUACUAACCCUAAAGCGGGUAGGAGUGAAUUCCAUCUUGUACCCUAUGUUCCCAGCUAUCCACCCGAUCUUACCCCUGAAAUGGGAGGCUUAUUGGGCCAACGCUGAUGAGCUGCCCUCACCUAUGCAGAUCUAAGGAUAAUCUCGUGUGAACAGGAGUUCAUAGUUAACUCAGGAUUAAGACUAAGUUACCUAGGUCAUCAAUAAUUGAGAUAGUCAGUUUUAAACAGUAAACGGUGUUAUAACGUAAAAAUGACUAAUUCAUGGUUCAGUCUUAUGUAAACAUUUUACAUAGGAUGCCCCCACUUUCAUGUCUCUACAUGAACGAUUAGGAUCACCUCGUUUGUACUACAAAGUGGGCCGCAUCCAUAGUUUCUCUAAAUAAGGCGCCCAACCUUUAUUUCAUAUACUAUAGACUAUUUAGGCUAUAUACUCGAACUUGAUCCACGUUUAUGUUUACACAUAAAGUUCAAGUUUAUUCAAAAAUAGCCUUGGAACUUGAUUUAUUGGAUUUAAGAUUAUAAUAUUUAAUUUCUCAAUAACAACUUUAUUGAACAGAAUAUGAUUUACAAACUACGAGUUUUAGGACAAAAAAUUCCAACAAACUCCCACUUGGACUAAAAUUCCUAGUGGUAUGAGAGAUGUGGUGUGAGAGAAUAUAUAUGAAACUAGGGCACAUGGCCAAUAAGUCUCCCACUUGUCCUAGUUUACAAACAUCGUAGACCUAAACUGUGUAGGUGACCCUCAAACACUUUAGCCGUGAGGGCUUUUGUAAAAUGAUCAGCUUCCAUUGUGGAAUCAGCUAUACAAGUUUGCUUUAUGCUUCUCCAAACUACUGCUCCUCCAUUUAGAGUAAAUACUGAUCCUGAUGUAGACUUUCUAGCAUCUUUAUCAGUUUGGAAAUCUGAAUCAGUGUAUCCAGUAAGGAUCAGAUCCUUUGUACCAUACAUGAGCAUGUAGUCUUUUGUUCUUCGAAGACAUUUUAGAAUGUUUUUAACGGCUGUCCAGUGAUCACGUCCAUGAUUGGAUUGAUACCUACUGACCAUCCCUACUGAGUAGCAAAUGUCAGGUCUAGUACAUAACAUUGCAUACAUUAAACUUCCAACAGCGGAAGCAUAGGGAAUAUUUCUCAUAUCCUCAACUUCUUGAGGUGUCUUAGGACAUUGUUCCUUUGACAAAUGAAUUCCAUAUCUGUACGGCAGCAUACCCUUUUUGGAAUUCUGCAUUUUAUAUCUAGACAACAUUUUGUCUAUGUAGGAUGCUUGAGACAUGGCUAGUGUUUUGUUCUUACGGUUUCGAACAAUUUGGAUUCCGAGAACGUAUUGUGCAUCUCUCAGAUCUUUCAUUUGAAAUUGCAUAGCUAGCCAUGCUACAAUGAAAUUGACGACCUUUUUGUAAACACAAUGCUCGUCAACAUUUUGUUCAAAGCCAUAAGAUUUGAUACUACGAUCAAAUCUUAUAUUCCAGGAUCUAGAAGCUUGUUUUAAUCCAUAAAUGGAUUUUUUAAGCUUACAAACCUUUUGUUCUUGAUCUUGUUCUAUAAACCCCUCUGGUUGAGACAUAUACAUACUCUAUUCAAGAUUACCGUUCAAAAAAGCUGUCUUGACAUCCAUCUGCCAAAUUUCAUAAUCAUAAAAAGUGGCGAUGGAUAAGAGUAUUCUAAUUGACUUUAACAUGGCAACGGGAGAGAAAGUUUCCUCAUAGUCUACCCCUCUCUCUAGGUAUAACUCUUUGCCACAAGUCGAGCCUUAAAAGUCUGUACUUUACCGGCAUGGUCUCGUUUUCUCUUGUAGAUCCAUUUACAACCAAUAGGUUUUACGUCAUUUGGUUGAUCUACUAGAGUCCAGACAGAAUUAAAGUACAUAGAAUCCAUUUCGAGGUCCAUGGCUUUGAUCCAUUGGUCACGAUCUACAUCUUUCAUUGCCUGUUUAUAGGUUAAUGGAUCCUCUAUGCCAUCGUCAGGUAUGACGACUUGAGUUUCAAUUAAACCCAAAUAGCGAUCAGGCUGAUGAACAACCCUCCCACUACGUCGAGGCUCUCUCAACUGUUGAGAAGGAUGUGAUUGACCAGAUUUCCUAGUCUUAUCAACUACUUUAGUGGAUGAACUAGAUUUAUCUAUAGCACUUUUGGAAAUUUCUUUUAAUACUAGUUUACUACGAGGUUGAUGAUCCCUGAUGUGGUCUUCCUCUAAGAAUAUGGCAUUUGUUGACACAAAUAUUUUAUUUUCUUGAGGAUCAUAAAACAAACCACCUCUUGAUUCUUUUGGAUAACCUAUGAAAAAGCAUAAUUUUGAACGAUGUUCCAAUUUCUUAGGAUUUUGUACCAACACGUGUGCAGGACAACCCCAAAUUCUAAAAUGACGUAAACUUCCUUUACGCCCUUUCCAUAGCUCAUAAGGUGUUUCUUAAACAUUUUUAGAGGGAACAUUAUUCAAAAUAUAAGCAGCUGUUUCUAAAGCAUAUCCCCUAAAUUUAUCUAAUAAAUAUGAACCCACCACAUGCAAUUGGGUAAAAAUGAAGCAUGCUCUGAUACCACAUGAUAGAACUAAGUCAUGCACAACGGAAAAAGAAUCGAAUUUCUACCCUAAUUGCCACAAUUAACAUGUAACCAUAAACUAAUCAAAUUAGGGUUUUAAGAAAUAUUACCUUUGAAGCUUUCAAAAAGUUUGAUAUCUUCUUACCAAUUCAAACCGAGACCACCACUAGUACUCAACUGCUAUCCUCUAGAUAAAGAACCGGGUUGUGGGACCCAAUUUUGGUGUAGAAAGUAAUGGAGAUAAAAUGGGAUUGGAAGGUAGAUGUUUUUUCUUUGGUUGAGAUGAUGAAAAUGAUAAAAGAGGCAAAAGUCCUUCAACAUUUGAAAACGCCUCUAUUUAUAACCUAAUUACAUGCAAAAAUGCAUGUAAUUCAUUUGCCAAAUCUCAACACCUAAUGUUCCACUAACAAUUAGUGGAACUUAGUG